rnacentral:rRNA from 1 species
UACGUAGGUGACCAGCGUUGUCCGGAUUUACUGGGCGUAAAGAGCGCGCAGGCGGUCGUUCAAGUCGCGUGUGAAAGCCCCCGGCUCAACUGGGGAGGGUCACGCGAUACUGAUCGACUCGAAGGCAGGAGAGGGAAGUGGAAUUCCCGGUGUAGUGGUGAAAUGCGUAGAUAUCGGGAGGAACACCAGUGGCGAAGGCGACUUCCUGGCCUGUUCUUGACGCUGAGGCGCGAAAGCUAGGGGAGCAAACGGG